rnacentral:rRNA from 1 species
GAGGAAAGCAGGGGAUCGCAAGACCUUGCGCUUUUAGAGCGGCCGAUGUCUGAUUAGCUAGUUGGUGAGGUAAAGGCUUACCAAGGCUUCGAUCAGUAGCUGGUCUGAGAGGACGACCAGCCACACUGGGACUGAGACACGGCCCAGACUCCUACGGGAGGCAGCAGUGGGGAAUUUUGGACAAUGGGGGAAACCCUGAUCCAGCCAUGCCGCGUGAGUGAAGAAGGCCUUCGGGUUGUAAAGCUCUUUCAGCCGGAACGAAACGGUCACGGCUAAUACCUGUGAUCACUGACGGUACCGGAAGAAGAAGCACCGGCUAACUACGUGCCAGCAGCCGCGGUAAUACGUAGGGUGCGAGCGUUAAUCGGAAUUACUGGGCGUAAAGCGUGCGCAGGCGGUUUUGUAAGUCAGAUGUGAAAUC